rnacentral:lncRNA from 1 species
AAGAAGUUGACAUUCCAUAAGAAUGUUUGCAGCGGGGGCAUAUGAUUCAAGAUACUUGCUUGUUGAAAAGCGAGGAGGAAGAAUGUCACGCUUUUCGAAUUUUGUCAAAAAUCUAGUAAGCUCGGUUUCAGUAUUGAAUUGUAAAAUAGACCCAUCUUGAUACGGGAAAGUUGGAGGUGGAGAAGCAGAAGAAGAUGUACCUUGUCUACCUGAACGGGAACGUUUAGAGUGUCUGCCCGACAUUUUGAAAAAGUAGUAAUGAACUUUGUAAGAAACUUAGAAGAUUUUUGAAGGUUUGGGAGCAAAGAU